UAGUAAAUGGCAGUCCCACCUUUGGAGGC
rnacentral:sRNA from 1 species